CACCUUUUUUUAAAAUUACGACAAUCUUCAAUAUUGUGCCCUGGAGCAUCAGAAUGGUAUGCGCAUCGUGUUGUAGGAUUAAAACCCUUUGCAUGUGGAUCCACAUAAUUUUUAGGAAUCGACUCUAUUAUCUUCAAAUGUUUUAACUUAUUAAAUAAACUCGUGUAAGAUUCUCCAAUUGGUGUGAAAUUGUUUCUAGGCCUUUGACCUCCUUCAAAUCCCUGUGUCGAACGGAGAUUAUAAGGUGCUCAAAAAGU
rnacentral:lncRNA from 1 species